UGGAUGCUGGGUGGUAGAGUGUUUGCCUAGCAUGCACAAGGCCCUGGGUUCAAUCCCCAGUAUCAAA
rnacentral:tRNA from 1 species